rnacentral:rRNA from 1 species
CCCCUAGAUGUUCUGGGCCGCACGCGCGCUACAUUGAACAGUUCAACAAGUCUUAACCUUGGCCGAUAGGUCUGGGUAAUCUUUGAACGCUGUUCGUGAUUGGGAUAGACCUUUGCAAUUAUGGGUCUUCAACGAGGAAUUCCUAGUAAACGCAAGUCAUCAGCUUGCAUUGAUUACGUCCCUGCCCUUUGUACACACCGCCCGUCGCACCUACCGAUUGAAUGGUCCGGUGAAAUCUCGGGACGGCGGCUUGGUCGCUUGCGUCCGACUGCUGAAACUUGAUUAAACCAUAUCAUUUAGAGGAAGGUGAAGUCGUANCA